GGGUGGAUAGCUCAGUGGUUAGAGCUUAGGGCUCGUAACCGGGAGGUCCCGAGAUCGAUUCCCGCUAGAGGCA
rnacentral:tRNA from 1 species